rnacentral:rRNA from 1 species
AGUGAACGCUGGCGGUAGACCUAACACAUGCAAGUCGGACGGCAGCACAGUAAGAGCUUGCUCUUACGGGUGGCGAGUGGCGGACGGGUGAGGAAUACAUCGGAAUCUACUUUUUCGUGGGGGAUAACGUAGGGAAACUUACGCUAAUACCGCAUACGACCUACGGGUGAAAGCAGGGGAUCUUCGGACCCUGCGCGAUUGAAUGAGCCGAUGUCGGAUUAGCUAGUUGGCGGGGUAAAGGCCCACCAAGGCGACGAUCCGUAGCUGGUCUGAGAGGAUGAUCAGCCACACUGGAACUGAGACACGGUCCAGACUCCUACGGGAGGCAGCAGUGGGGAAUAUUGGACAAUGGGCGCAAGCCUGAUCCAGCCAUACCGCGUGGGUGAAGAAGGCCUUCGGGUUGUAAAGCCCUUUUGUUGGGAAAGAAAAGCAGCAGGUUAAUACCCCGCUGUUCUGACGGUACCCAAAGAAUGAGCACCGGCUAACUUCGUG